UCUCAUGCAAUCGUCACUAUUCAGCAGACUGCAGCUGCUCGUUGACUGCGACUGUAACAUACUGAAAAUGCGGAAAUGCUCCGAUCCGCCGUAACCUUGUGUGAAAUCUUCGACCUGAACUUAAGCAUUAACUUCAAAGACCUGAACAGGAACCGAGGUUUCUGGAGAACGGGAUUGUCAAAAUUACACGCAGAAACAUGAAAAUGCUUCCUGCUGUGAACUCCGGCGCUGCCUUCGGGGUCAUAAAGAGGAGAAAAUUAACCGAGGGAUUCGCCGACUACUCAGCAAUGGUAAAAAAAAAAAACCCAGAAGACGGGGAAGUUCUGCACAGUGACCUCCAUCCUGGAGCCUGGCGUGAAGUUCUGCAGACACCAGAGGGAGUCAUGGCGCUCCAGGUUUUUCUCACUCUCCUUGAACUCCAGCCCCCUAUCCCCCCCCCUCACCCCACGAUGGUGGUUUCACCCACUAACACCGGAAUCCCGUGAACCCAAGAAAAAGAUACGGAAACCCCAAAUGCGUUCAAAAGGUCUUUUAUAUCUAAUUUAUAUGCAGAAUAAUGAGGGGAAAAAGAGAGAGAUGGGGGUAGAGAAAGAGGCGGAUGGAAGCAGAGACUGGAUAUACAGUAGGCAUGUGGAAGAGGCAUCGCCGGUGUGAGGCAUGGCAGGGCCCUGCUGGCUGACUGACCGCACAUGGCCUACUUUGGGUAUCUCCGCCAGGAAGGUGCCUGGUCCCCUGGCUGAACCCUCCAUGUGAACACCACGCACAGAGGAUUUAAUCAGAGCUACAGGUCCAUGCCAAUCCUGGCCGGGGCGUCUCUUACGUUCUUACAGUCUCGAGCUCUGCUUUUUACAGUUACUCUUACAGUUAUGCUUCAAAAAUAUGAGCUUCAAGGUAAGACAGAGGUUAUACAGCUCUUCAUACAUGUAUGUUUAACAGUUUAUUUUUUUCUGCCCUGAAACAGUGCUCUUUAUGCUGUGAUUCAAUGUUACUGCACUGUCAGAAAAAAGGGUGUAUCCCUGGUACGGUUUUGUUCCCCAAGGUACAAAGAACACUAAUGUACCCCCAAUGGUACAAAAAUGUUCCUCAGAGUCCAUUCCUGUACCUUAGAAUAAAAGGUACAUUUACCUACAACUAUGGUACAACUGGCAGACCCUUGAGGAUACAAUCUCAGUGACAAGUAAUUGUACCCUCAAUGGUGCACACUGGCAAUUUUUUCUGACAGAGUGUGGUUUCUUUAAUAGAAAAAAAAAUCUGAUCUUUUUUUUUUGCAAUUAAACAGUGUUCAGCCACUGUACAGAAAGGCCACUAUCUCAGGGGUCUGCAACCUUAUUUACAGUGAGAGCUACUUCCCAAAGAAAAUAGUCUGGGGAGCUACGUGUUUGACAGAAAACAAAAAAUGGGCGGAGCCUUACUUGUGAUCCAGAGCGGUGAGGAGGCCGCCCCUCUGCUUUGCCCUCAUGGCCACGCUCUUCAUCUUCAUCUCGGUGAUGCUGGGCAGCAGCAGUGGUAUGGCGACGCAGAAGAGUGCCAGCUG